GUUGUGUAUUUUGUUGUAAGUGUUAUCAUUUGUUGUUUGUUAAUAUUUCGUUUUUAGUUGAAGAUUUAAGUUUUCAAAAAGUUUGCAAAAUCGUUGUUUAGAAUUUCUUUUAUUCAUUAAGCAACGGUCAGAAUUUCUUGUUUCCCUUGUGAAAAGAGACUCUGUGAAACUCUCACUUAGUCCUCGGUUGCCAAUGUUUCGUUCACAAGACCUUCAUUCCCGUACAUCCUUACUCCUUUGUUUUGUACUCAACUAUCUCAACCGUCUCCAUUUGGUUCAUUCAUCAGAACAUCACAGCCAAUGAUCAUCUGCACCGACUGGCCACCUCCAUUCAUCGGUGGAUGGCAUAUCUAAAUUGAAUUUAUAAUAGUUGACAAGACAAGACCUCGCCACUGAAUCCAGCCACCGAUGCUGCCGGCCAUCCACCUCAGUCGGUAGGUCGGUCGGAUAGUCAACCAAUUCAGAGCAAUUCUCAUUCAUUUACUUCAAUCACUUCUCACAUUUUUUUCCCAAAAGAGGGGGACGGACUCGGACCGAGAGACUGGACUGAAAUGGACUGAGAAGAGUGAACGGGAGGAAAAAUGUGGCGAAAAUUAAUUAAAAAUCAAUUUGAUUUUGAUUGUUGACCGGCUCUCAACCUCUCGACCACUCCCACUGCCGUCUAUCUCUCUCCAUCCAGUGGUAACCCAUCUAUUUGUUCUCUUUUUCGCUCCUCUCCUUCUCGUCUCGAAUGUUUAAUUGACGUUUGGUACAAUGUUUGACAUUUUUGCUCCACGAAUUGUCGUUUUUUUGUGCCUGUUUCCGUUUUGUGCUCUGUUUCCCCACUCGCUUUCAAUCUUUUUUAUGAUUUUUUCAAUUAUGCAUUUUGUUGUCAAUUUUUUUGGGCCCCCAGGAUCAGAGCCAUGUUGCUGUUUUUGUUGUUGUUUGUACACUGUACAGAGGCACACAGACACAAACAGCAAACGGAAAACAAAUCAAAAUAAAAGAACACUUUUAAUUGAAUUAUUGCGCAAGGAAAAUAAAUAAAUAAGUGGAGACAAGGAGCCAGGGAGAGAGAGGGGGCUAUGAAGACUACCAUUUAAAUUCGCACAUUUAUUUAUCGAUAAUUAAAUUCGAUUCAAAUACUCGUUCAAUGUUCAGAUAAAAACGUACAUUCUAUUUAAAACAUAAUAAUUGUGUGUACAACGAAGAACAUGAUGUGAAAUGUAUCCUGCCAACGAAAAUGAAAUUAGUUUAAAUUAAUUAAAUGUAAAUCUUUUUUCACCUGCCUCGCAUUCGAGGGCAGCCUUCCAUCUAACAGAUAUUUUCAAUGCCAGGUCGGCAGGCAGACCAGGCAGCAAAUGCAAUUUUGAUGGCUCCAAACACGUAGAACACAAAAAACUCGGGGCCAGAAAAGUAAACAAAAACAACACAAGCAGAAAAACCAACAGCAAAUAUUUCAUGGAUAUUUGGCUCAAACUGGAAAGCAGCCAACACAACGACGAGUGCCUGACACUGCAAAUGAAAUGAAUGUCAAAGCUGAGUGCGCAGCCCAUAGACGAAUAAACAAAUACUUUAGGAAAUCUAUAGGUAAAUAAACCUAUCUACAUACAUAUAUGAAGCUCAUCAAAAUAGCCAUUUUUCAGUGGUUAAACUAAAUUUGUAAUACUUCUGGUAAUGAUCUAGAAAAAAAUCAUCUGAGGCUGAUCCCUAAAUAACGAUAGCCGCAUGAGCUAAGGUGCAGCACAACAGCACAACAGCAGCACAACAGCACAGCAAAAAAAUGACAAUUGGCACAUGAAGCUGUUUAAAAACAAAACAGAAAUGAAGCAAAUAAAAAGAAACAACAAAAUGGCACCCGCAAAAGUAUUUAAAUAAAGCGAAUUUAAAUCGCAACAAUGCGAUUGAACAUGAAACAAAAAAGAUAAUAAAAGAUAAUGCAGCUGUCGCACC
rnacentral:lncRNA from 1 species